GACGUAGGGCGCAAGCGUUGUCCGGAUUUAUUGGGCGUAAAGAGCUCGUAGGCGGCCUGUCGCGUCGACCGUGAAAACCCGCAGCUCAACUGCGGGCUUGCGGUCGAUACGGGCAGGCUGGAGUUCGGUAGGGGAGACUGGAAUUCCUGGUGUAGCGGUGAAAUGCGCAGAUAUCGGGAAGAACACCCGUGGCGAAGGCGGUUCUCUGGGACGGUACUGACGCUGAGACGCGAAAGCGUGGGGAGCGAACAGG
rnacentral:rRNA from 1 species